CAAAGGUUGAUUCCGGUGGCGGAUGGGCAUGCGUCGCAUUAGUUAGUUGGCGGUGUAACGGACCACCAAGACGACGAUGCGUAGGGGUUCUGAGAGGAAGGUCCCCCACACUGGUACUGAGACACGGACCAGGCUCCUACGGGAGGCAGCAGUGAGGAAUAUUGGUCAAUGGGCGGGAGCCUGAACCAGCCAAGUCGCGUGAGGGAUGACGGCCCUAUGGGUUGUAAACCUCUUUUGCCGGGGAGCAAAGUGCCGCACGUGUGCGGUUUGGAGAGUACCCGGAGAAAAAGCAUCGGCUAACUCCGUGCCAGCAGCCGCGGUAAUACGGAGGAUGCGAGCGUUAUCCGGAUUUAUUGGGUUUAAAGGGUGCGUAGGCGGACGCUUAAGUCAGCGGUAAAAUUGCGGGGCUCAACCUCGUCGAGCCGUUGAAACUGGGUGCCUUGAGUGGGCGAGAAGUACGCGGAAUGCGUGGUGUAGCGGUGAAAUGCAUAGAUAUCACGCAGAACUCCGAUUGCGAAGGCAGCGUACCGGCGCCCAACUGACGCUGAAGCACGAAGGCGUGGGUAUCGAACAGGAUUAGAUACCCUGGUAGUCCACGCAGUAAACGAUGAAUGCUAGUUGUCCGGGGCGAUUGAGUUCUGG
rnacentral:rRNA from 1 species